UUACGGCCACAUCAUGUUGAAACACUGAUUGCCAUACAAUCACUAUAGUUAAGCAACAUCGAGCCUGGUCAGUACCUAGAUGGGUGACCACUUGGGAAUACCAGAUGCUGUAAG